UUGUCCUUAUAUUGGAGAUAAUAAUAGUAUCUAUUUCUUAGUGUAUGUGUAUGUGUGUGUGUGUGAGAUGUUUAGAAUAAAGAGAAAAUACCAUGGGAUGUGUGAUUAGUGUGUGGAAAAGUUAGUGAUCAAUAAACUUUAAUAAUUAUUCACUACUGUAUUAAACAUUACCAUGGUCAUCUCCUCCUCCUCAUCUCCUCCAAAGUUUAAGAAGCACCUAGUAUGGCUAGGUUCUGCUUAUUUUAUAUCUUGAAAAGUUAAAAUGAGAUAUAUUCAAGACUUGAUUCUGGAUGACCUCUUCAUUUUCCACAGUAAUAUUGAAAAGUCCAUCCAAUAAAGCUGGCUAAGCAGAGAAAAUCAACUACAUCAAUGUAUAUAUUUGUUGAGUCCAAAACACUUAUUAUUCUGCUAAGAGCUUCAAGUUUUUCUCAUUUAAUCUUUAUAGAAACUCUCAGAGAACUCAAGCAAUUUGCUCAGAGUCUGCAACAUGGAAUGUACAAAGGUAUGAUUUGAACGCUCGUCUGUUUGAAUUCUGAAGACCAUGCCCCUUCCACAUAACAACGUCAUCCUCACUGCACCAAACAAAACCAUGUGGAAGGAGAGACGAUCACCAGAUUUCACUCAUCGCUGUCAUCACGGUCAUUUCUCCCCAGUUUCCUCAAAAUGGCAAUGACAAUUCCUCUCGUAAAGGGCAUAGAUCCCUGGAGCGCUCUCUGAAGAUUCAAAACCUUGGUUUUCCCAAAGGCUCUUCUCCCUUCCUCACACUGUCUAUCCUGACUCUGGAUGAUGUCACUAGCCCCUUGUGUCAUCACUCAGCUCUGCUGCCUCUUUACAAGGUGCUAUUAUGGACUAUGAACUAGUGUGCCACUCCCAGGCAGGAAACAGUCUGGCUAUGUUAGCACCGUGAUUGAUCUUCAUUAGGAACCAGAACCCUGACUGCUCUCAGUUGUGGAUCUUCCACUGGGAACAAUAAAAAGAUUCGCUGAGAAUAACCA
rnacentral:lncRNA from 1 species